rnacentral:tRNA from 1 species
GACUCGAUAGCUCGAUGGGUAGAGCGGCGGUCUAGAUACCCGAAGAUGCGAGUUUAAAUCCCGCUCGAGCCA